rnacentral:rRNA from 1 species
CACGUAGGGGGCGAGCGUUGUCCGGAUUUAUUGGGCGUAAAGAGCUCGUAGGCGGUUUCGUUAGUCGGGUGUGAAAACCCCAGGCUCAACCUGGGGACGCCACCCGAUACUGCGAUGACUAGAGUCCGGUAGGGGAGUGUGGAAUUCCUGGUGUAGCGGUGAAAUGCGCAGAUAUCAGGAGGAACACCGGUGGCGAAGGCGGUUCUCUGGGCAUUACCUGACGCUGAGGAGCGAAAGUGUGGGGAGCGAACAGG